ACACGACUACAUUAGAUACCCCCUGUAGUCCUAGCCGUAAACGAUACCCGCUAGGUGUCGGCCACGGUGCGACCGUUGUCGGUGCCGUAGGGGAGCCGUGAAGCGAGCCACCUGGGAAGUACGGCCGCAAGGCUGAAACUUAAAGGAAUUGGCGGGGGAGCACCACAACGGGUGGAGCUUGCGGUUUAAUUGGAUUCAACGCCGGAAAUCUUACCGGGACCGACAGCAACAUGAAGGCCAGGCUGAAGACUUUGCCGGAUUAGCUG
rnacentral:rRNA from 1 species